CCUUAGCCUUGUUACGGACUUCGGCAUCCGAAUCUUCCUUAGUCAAAUCCACCGCACUUGGUGGCUUGGCAUGGAAGGACUCGGUAGAACAAGAAGAGGCUUUGUUAGGUAGGUGCUCACUAAUAUUUUUGUCCACACUAUCUAGAAUAACUUUUUGCAUGCUAUCCAAAAGCAAUUUGAUGGAUUUAAAAGUUAGUGGAGCAUUAUCAUCUAUCACCUCGGUUUCUUGGGGUUUCACGGUGGGUUCCCCAUCAUCGCCGGCCAUACUCUUAAGAGUGUUAAAGCCCUAAUUAAGAGACGAAGCUCUGAUACCAAUUGAAAGAUCGGUAUGGUCGACUAGAGGGUGGGGUGAAUAGGAGACUAACAAAUUUUAGUUUUUUUUUCUUUUCUUGAAAGAUACAACACUUAAUCGUAGUAUUUACUAGAUUCUCUAAAGUGAAUGCAACCCUAAAAUGAAAUGCAAUAGCCGAAGCAACAAUAGAUAGCAAGAAUGUAAGGGGGAAAUGAUACCACACGUAGAGACGAAGAUUUCACCGGAGUUCCACCUAUUGGGAUCGGUGUACGUCUCCGUAUGGAGGAGCGCUCUACCACAAAGGUAGAGACGCCACAAAGGCUCACUCUAUUCUCCAACU
rnacentral:lncRNA from 1 species